rnacentral:rRNA from 1 species
CCGACGAGGGGCAGGAGGCGGGGGUAGUAGGUAUGGGCGGAGCGUUGUCCGGAUGGAUGGGGCGGAAAGAGCACGUAGGCGGUUCGGCAAGUGGGAUGUGAAAUCUCCACGCUCAACGUGGGGGGGCCAGUCGAAACUGCCGUGACUCGAGUCCGGUAGGGGAGGGGGGAAUUCCCGGUGUAGCGGUGAAAUGCGCAGAUAUCGGGAGGAACACCAGUAGCGAAGGCGGCACUCUGGGCCGGUACUGACGCUGAGGAGCGAAAGCGUGGGGAGCGAACAGGAUUAGAUACCCUAGUAGUC